rnacentral:lncRNA from 1 species
CAGGAUAGGAAAUGGUCCUCUGGCUUGAAAGACUCAGCAUCCAGAAGUAGUACCUCACUCUCCAUCCAGUGGUCACCCCCCAGAAAUGUGCUCUCGCCCUACCCACCUGCCUGGGAGCUGCCUGCCUCUUGAUGUGCUGACACCUGCUCCUGCUGCUGCUGCUGCUGCUGCUGCUGUUGCUGCUGCUGCUGCUGUUGCCGUUCUCUCAAGGGCUGGCGGAACUGAGCAGCCCCCAGGACAACAUUCCGGAGCUUGGCCCAGCGCAGACGCCCACCUGGUGUGCCAGACGGCCACUUGCUUUCCAACACAGCCUACCAAGCACAGUGCCCAUCAGGAUGGCCUACCUCGACACCCUAACCCUGCCUCAUACCCACUCCCUGUCUUGGAGCCCCAGGGACCGCCCUUCCCCUGCAGACAUCCUGUCUAGGACUGUCCGGCCAAUGGCUCAGCCAGGAACAAGAGCCCAGAAGAGACAGUAGGCAGCAGCUGCCUCCCAAGGGGCCUAGAAGAACCCAGAGGCAGUGGAGAAAAUUUGUACCCAGACCUUGCUGCUUAGAAAUAUAAAAUAUAUGGCUCUGAAGAAAUCAUUUCAUUUAUUUGGU